GUUUGACUUCCCAGUGCAGACUAGAAGCAUGUUGGAUGGUGUGUAAUUUACAUAAUUUCACAAGGGUUUCACCAAAUUAGCUGUGCCCUACUUAGAAAUGCCUCUUUCUAUUUAUCUAGAUAAUGAAUAAUAAUAUGGAAUAUGCUAUUGUUCUGCAUAAAUAUGGCUGAUGUUUUUGUGGAAAACUUGUGCAAACCUAACCCAGGGUAAUGGAAACACACGCCAGCUAGCUCCUUUCAGUCUGUGUAUUGAUCACAUUUGCAGUAAAUCACACUUUUAAAGCCCUGCCAAGUACUUCUCAUCAUUCUUUCAUAGGUCUUCUUAAUGUAGAGAAACAAAUAUUUAACUUGCGUUUACUUACAUGUUAUUGCCUAAAUUGGAAUCGUAAAAGCUAAAUUGAAAGGAGUAAGGCACUUCUCUUUCUAACCAUAAAUAUUAAUCAAGGUAUCAAGCAACAAACAACCAUAUUUCUAGACUGUUUCUUGGGGACUCUGAUGAGGCACGGAUUAGUUUUUAAAACGAUCACAGGAAAUGUACCUUCAUGUAGAAAUGUUAUGCAGAGACUGUAAAAUUUCCCCCGGUGGAUUAAUGAACAGUGUGCUACUUGGGUCUUAUUCAUAGAUUCAUUCUAGAAAAGUGGAUGAUCAGUCUCACAUGAAAUUAAGCUCAUAUAAAUGAUAUGCCAUGUUUUUAUGAUUAUGGAUGCUGUAUUUAAUUUGAGUUAACAAAUACUUUUGUAGGGAGUGUUUUAGAAAUAGAGGUUGCGGACUUCCGGGGUGGCGCCAUCGGCAAUGGCGGAUUCCCUCUGAACUGGACGGACCAGCUCCACGGGAAUCGGGUCUUUUCCGCUACGGCGAAGCGGGGACCCAUUCAGAAAUCACAGGUGGAUGAAGCCUGUGACCAUGGGACUCGGCGGGCACCCUUAGCGCCCCCCCAACCCGCAAAAGAACCCUUUAACGGGCUCCGGAGCGAAGAGGGGGAAGUGGCGCAGUGCUGAGAGUCAACUGCUUCUUCCGUGGAGCGAAGCCGCACAGCCGUUGCCGGAGAGCGCUGCCUUUUUCCUGGGACAAUCUGGCUUCUAAAAUAAUCACCCGUGAGUACCUAAACUCGGACAAUUGGACUCUAAAUAAGGACUUGUGAGCAGAAAGGAAAAUUGGACUUAAAAGUUUACCUUAAUUUGGCGCUGAAACGGGAAGGUCUAAACAGGAAGUCAGCCUUCCGUUUCUUUGUAGAUAGAUUAAAGCAAAGACAUGGCAAACUAGAGCUCAGAAAAUCGCCUGUAAAAGAUUAACUUUCAUCAUUUAAAAUUGUUGAACCCCCUUCGGAAGCAGGAGAAGAGGGGGGAUCUUUUCGGACUGUUUAAACCUGCAGAAGUGAGGGUAAAGUAAAGUAACUUUCCACCGUCCUGAUCCUGGAGCGGGAUGUUAGGACUGACGUUUUUUUAAAGCUCAUUGACCAGAGACAACGUUUUUGACAGAUAGCUAUAAGAAGAGAAACUUUGACUCCAUUGUUCCCCUUCGCUUCUUAAAGGAACAAAUAUUGACAAAAUAUCUGAAAAAGGAAACUUUUGUUGCUAGACUUGUCUUUAAAAGAAAGAACAAAUAGAAGUUUUCCCCCAGAGGGAGACUGUGAAACUGUAACCAACUUCGGGGAGCUGGCAGCUGUUACAGAUUACAAUCGUGGGAACAGACAUCUGACCUUGCAGGACAAUGUAUUCAGAAGCUCUGUUGUGUGCUUUCUAUAAAACAAAUGCCCUACUGGAACAGCUACAUGAGAAGACGAAUUUAAUGGCUGAUUCGAUUAGAAAUUUUGAACAGGCAGUGGGAAGAUAUGUGGAGCCCACCCAGGAAUUAAAUCAGGAGUGUGCCCUGACAGAACAGGCCCAACAGGAACAUGAGCUUUUGGAUUUGACAAAUGAACUUGGAAAAAGCCAGAUUUGGAAAGAAAAAGUUUGGUUUGGUUUGGAAAUGGGGGGCUGGAUAGACCCCCCUAUGCAGGGAUGUUUGGACUUUUCAAGUCUGGCAAUGGGCCGUGAGAUGUCUGGGAUUGUGGGGGCUCCUAAUUUUGGAGGGAUUUUGAAACAUGUUCUUAAAUACCACAUGGAAUUUAGUGUGGAUUAUGGAAAAGGGGCUGAUCUGUCGAGAAGGGUCAAAAAUAUUGUUAAGCUGGAGUUCCCACGAGUGAAACGAGCAGGAGACAAGGGAAAAUACAGUUACAAAUAUGAAGAAGAGCUGCGGAAGGGACAUGGAAGAGACUUAAGGGCCUCGGAUAUAAGGUUACCAGGUUAAUGCGCUAGAUCGAUGGGAUAAUAAGGACUGACAAAACCCGGGACCAGGAGGAAGGGACGCUGGAUGAAGAUUGGAUUGUUUUUAUUUCUUUUUCUACUACUAGGAUUGUUUUAUAAAAUUUAUGAAUGUUAGAAAAAUGUUGGAAUGAAAUUACUUGGCUUUAGUAAAAAUGUUUAAAGAAUUAUGUAAGAAUAUUAUGGUUAUGAGAAGUUGGUAAAAAUAAGAUUUAAGUUUUAAGUUUCAAGGUUUUUUAUAGUAAGAUAAGAUUAAAAUAGUUUAAGGUAAUGUAAUGACAGAAUUUUAUGAAAUAUGGAAAGGAUUUGCUGCAACAAUUAACAACUAGGAUACAAAAAAAGGGAGGAGGAGGAGGUCAAAGAAAGAAGGUAAUGACAGUUGAGGAUUUGAGAAUAAUGGAUUUGUUUUUAAAUGUUUGCGGUGUAUUUUUGUUUUUUUUUUGAAUUUGUAUUGUUGGAUGUGGUUUGUGUUUUUCUUUGUUCUUUCUUUGUUCUUUUUCUACUUUGUUUUCUUUUGUAACUCUAAAUUUUCCCCCCCAAUAAAUAUUUUUUAAAAAAAAUAGAAAUAGAGUUUGCAUCUUUCAUUGCCCACAAGGACAAUGUGAAACAAAAUGCAUCGGGCGUGUUAUAUCUCUUAAAGCUUCCAAUAUAUUUUAUCACCAUUUUGGGUCUUUCUUUCUUUUUCUUUUCUUGCCCUUAUUCCAGAGUAAACACCUGGGGUGGAGGCUGUUGCAGCAAAAAUGCACACACGCGCACACUUAGCAAAAUACUAUAGAAGCGGAGCAGCAGUGUUGUCAAGAUGUGUUAAAAGCAUACUAACUUAGGAUAUCUGUUCCACUUGUGCAACACAGUGUUGGAUAUAACCCAACAGGAUUAUUCCCUUCACAUGGCACAGUUUGCUCCCCUAGGAUUAUCUUCAGAAAAAAGCAAUUCCGCUUUCAAGUGAAUUCCAUAAAGUUUUAACAAACUAAGGCGGCAACCCGAAACCCCAGUUACCUGGGGGUAAUUCACACUGAAUUCAAUGGGGCUUACUUCUGAGUAGGCAUGGUUAUGAUCACCCUAUAACUCUUACAAAUACUUGGGUUUGAUAUUUAGCCAAGAUAGUGAGGUUGGGUGUUUUUCUUGUCAGUCUUCCUUGUUUUCUUGCCAUUUUUUAUCCUAGCCUUUGCUUCAGCACUGCUAAAAUGCCCUUAAAAUAUAUAUACUGCUGUAACCAUUUUGUACCACUGGUGAAUUGGCACCCUGUUAAAUGCCUUUUCCUGUAAAUGACUGUGUACGGAGAAACUUGCAACGUGUGCUACAUUGGAUGAUCUAUUGCCUACCUCAGCGUUUUGUGCUUUAAGACUGUGGCGUAGAACAAAAGAUAUGGGAAAUCGUAUGGGAACAAGAAGUGUGUGCGUAUUAAGGAAAUACCAUACGAAAAAAAUGAACUUGCAUUGCAGGAAAGACCAGACUUGCUUGCAUGUCUACAAGCAAUCAAGACACACACACACAAAUGAAUAAAGACUGCCAUGCAUAAUAGGUCUGGAAACAAAUGAUCAAGAAUGAAUGAGGGCAAAUUUGAGUUGUAGAAAAUUAGCAUACUUAAUGUCUAGAAACACAACAAACUGCAGGACCACAUUGUCCAGUUUGGGGCAAAAAAAAUCAAAUUUGCUGCUCUUUAUUGAAAGUUAGGCCUCAUUUCCAUACGCAGCUCUACCAUUUUGGUGGACAUUUCAUUAGCAUAAUCAUGACUGCUUAGAUUACUGGUAAGCAACAGUAAAAUCCUGAAAUAACCUAAAUAAAGCAUUGUUGUCACAAGGGUGCUUGGCAGAUUGCUCAGAUUUGACAAAAGUUGAAUUCAUCGAAAGGACCAUGGGCAAAGAUUAUUAUCAAGGACUUUACUUGCCCCCCCCCUAUUUCCACCCGGACAAUCUCCAUGCACAGGGGUCCAAGAGAGCAGUGAUGAGGAGAGAGUGCUUGUUUUGCUUGCAUCUUCUUACAGACACCUGCCACUUCAGACAUGCUGGUCCAAGAUAAGCACAGACAACUGUACGAAGGAAAUGCGGAAUAGCCAAUGGGAUAGGUUGGGAAUUGAUGAGAAUUUUGAGCUUCUGAGGCCAAGCAGUUUCACAUGGGAACACGGGAUUUCAGUUGUAGUAAUGUAGCAGAAGAUGCCUCACUGAAACCAAAUGAGCAAGUUUACUGUGACUUUAAGACCCAUUUCAAUGGGAAUGACAGAGCUGUCUUCAUUUCAACAAUUCGUUUUGCUUUCCUGCUAUUUCAUGGGUUGUUUCCCCCCCUCCCCAAACAAACUAACAAACUGAGCAAUAGAACAAUUGCCCUUAUUCCCUUGUUUCCACAACAAAAAGGAUUUUAUCUGGUACCUUUGCAAUAAUUUACAUUGGCCUUGAGGGGAUGUUGCAUGAGAAAAAUAAAUAAAUCCAAGUGUGUAUCUGUACUCUGCCACUACACACCCACUUGCCUUCUCCGUUAGAUCAUUGCAUGCUAGAAAAAAAAUAUAUUGUUUUGAAAACUCUCAAAAUAAGAUUAGUAUUUUUUUUUAAAUGACAGUGUGGAAAGCCAUGACACGUAGCAUUAGCCUGAGAAGAGCAUUCAUCACGAAACUCCAAUUCAUCAUGAGACUUCUCAGCUUCUUUUCAAACUGUGGGCUUAUCUGUCUCCCCCACAUGCUAUUUCUUCACUCCUUCCUGAUCUUCUGAACAGCUUUCUGGUGUCAUGAACUCCGUAUGUCAUCCAAAUGGUUAGAAUUCAUUUUUGUCUCUGUGCGUGUGUAAAAGAGAGAGAGAGAAAGGUGUCGGUUGCAAGUGACUUUCAGCCUGAUGCAAUAUUUAGUAGCUCCAAAGAACAUAGGAAACCUUUACAACGAAAAUCCCAAGCCAUUGUUUUCCUUGACCCGAGUAGCAAACCAAACUGCUGGGCAUGUAUGUUUUUGAGAGGCAUAUUGCUGAGAUAUUAACAUAUUUACAGAUUCAACAAACUGAGUAGAUUGAAAAUAAUAUUUUCUAACACGUGUCUUACAUUUCAAAAACAAUAAUGAUGUUUGGAUAUAUUUAGCCACCAUACUGGCUAUUUUGAUUGUAGAAUCCAAAGGGAUCUCUUGCAGCGUCUUGUUUUCAUGUUCUUACUUCCAAUGAUGAUUUUGGUGGUGUGUGUGUGGGAAUUAUGGAGUUUCAGAACACCCAGAGACCAUCCUACCUGGCAGUUAUCAGAAGUGAGAGUAUUGAUUGUACUAAGACUAGGUAGAUCCAUGUUGAUUCAUCCCCACUCAUUCAUGAAGUCCACUUGGUGACCUUGGAAAAGUCCUUCUUUCUCAACCUAACGUACCUACAGAGGAUAAAAUAGGGUGGGGUGGGAGGGGACCAUUUUCACCACCCUGAGCUCCUUGGAGGAAAGGUGGAAUAUACAUUUGACAAACAAAGAAUAUUGUGCAUCCUACUAAGCCACAGUUGUCUUCUUUUUUUAGUAUAAUUUUAUAUGUUGAAGAGCUGAACUCUGAUGUAUGGGACUGAAUCAUGGUGAAAUGGAUCAAAUUAGGGUUGUUGUCUUUUAAAUUGCUUCUAUUAAAUAUUUUUUUGGGUUACAAAAGUACAUACAGCAUCUCUGCUUUCAAUUCGUAGAGUCCUUUCUACAGUUCAGUUAUUUUUGAUAUGAGACACUAGAGCAGGGCUUUCCAAGGUGGGGAGAGAAGGGGGGUAGUAAACUUUCAUUCUUUUACACAGUGUAUGAUCAAGGCUUUUGUGUCAGUGUCACAUGGGUAAGUUCUAUUUCCAUUCAUUUAUUAGGGGGUUUUUUUGGUUGUGAGAGAGAUUUGGGGGCCCAGGGCCCGAUUGGUUUCUGUCAGUUCACCGCAGUGAGUUUUGUUUGCAUGUGUGUGAGGGAGGGGGUUGCUAGGACAAGUUAUGCUUUUGGUGGGUUCUUGUUGUUGUCUUGUGUAUGCCAUAAAGGGAAGCCACACUGGGGUGAAGGCAUCCUCUUUUGUUUGUCCCCAUGCUAGUGGAUCAAGCUGUUGUUGUUGUUGUUAUUUAGUCGUGUCCGACUCUUCGUGACCCUGUGGACCAGAGCACGCCAGGCACUCCUGUCUUCUACUGCCUCCCACAGUUUGGUCAAACUCAUGGUGGUAGCUUCGAGAACACUGUCCAACCAUCUCGUCCUCUGUCGUCCCCUUCUCCUUGUGCCCUCCAUCUUUCCCAACAUCAGGGUCUUUUCCAGGGAGUCUUCUCUUCUCUUGAGGUGGCCAAAGUAUUGGAGCCUCAGCUUCAGGAUCUGUAGUGGAUCAAGCUAGGUUUGAAUUAACUCUUAAACUCUUGUGUGGGGAACCUGUGGCCUUCCAGAUGUUUCUCAACUCCAAUAGCCUCAGCUAACAUUGUCAAGUAUAAUGGAAGCUGCAAUCCAACAACAUCUGGAGGGCCACCUCUGUCUUAAAUAAAGGCUGGUAAAUAAAAGUACUAGUACUGAGGUACAAGAACGCCCUGGUACCCGAUUAAAAUGUUCCCUGCUUCCAUCAUAGUUAUAAAAUUUAUUUAAGAGUUUUCUGCUUAAUCCUUGAACAUUCCUAAAAAUACUCAAUAAGCAUGUGUUUUCUGUGGAAGAAGUAGAAUAGCUUCAAGGAGAUAAUGUCAAAAACAUUUACACACAUUAGAAGGCCCAAAAUCACACUCUGGAUUUUGAAACAAAGUGAAUUCCAAAAUGAUUUCAACCUGUAUAUCGAUGGAGCCCUAUAUAGCUCGUUUCUUCAGUCUGGGCUGGAGUGACUUGACCUUUCAGUUUAUAUACGAGCGCUUGACUUGAAAUGAAGAUAACAGCUAGAACUGGCAUAUUGCGUUGCCAUACCAGGAAAUGCUAGUGUAUGUCCUUCCACAUAAUUAAGUUGCCAGAUGAACGCUGGUGCCCUUUUCUUAACAUGAAGAGAGGGAGAGAUGUAGGGGAGUAUAGCACCACAUACCAGAGAGAAAGAAGUAGCAUAAGUACGUUACCUUCCUUCAUUCUCAUGGCUUGAACCCCAUUUUUUAAAAAACUAAGAAGUGUAUUUUACACUAGGGUUCUAAUCCGUCUAGGACAGGGGUCAGCAAACCGGUCCACUGUCCCUCAGACCUUGUGUGGGACCAGACUAUAUUUUGAAAAAUAAAAAUAAAAAAUGAAUGAAUUCCUGUGCCCCACAAAUAACCCAGAGAUGCAUUUUAAAUAAAAGGACACAUUCUACUCAUGUAAAAGCACGCUGAUUCCCGGACCGUCUGCAGGCCGGAUUUAGAAGGCGAUUGGGCCGGAUCCGUCCCUCGGGCCUUAGUUUGCCUACCCUUGGUCUAGGAGCUCUGUGCAUGCUCCUAGCAGGAAGCUUCUGCAUUUGUAUUAAGAGCUGGAUGGGCAGACAUGUACUGUGCACAGUGUUCCACUCACCAAUUCAGUAGUCAGAAAUGCAUGUACAGAGCUCCUUUCUAAAAGGUAAAAUCUGGCUGUUUGGAGGAAGGGUGUGUGUGUGGCGAAUUAAUCCCCCUGCUCACGCUUCCCCACCAAAUAUCUGAUCAGUGGGAUUUUAGCUUUGGGGGAGGGGGCGGGGCUCCAUUGCGCAUGAGUUUAGAGGGACGCGGGUGGCGCUGUGGGUUAAACCACAGAGCCUAGGACUUGCCAAUCAGAAGGUUGGCGGUUCAAAUCCCCAUGACAGGGUGAGCUCCCGUUGCUCGGUCCCUGCUCCUGCCAACCUAGCAGUUCAAAAGCAUGUCAAAGUGCAAGUAGAUAAAUAGGUACCACUCCGGUGGGAAGGUAAACGGCGUUUCCGUACACUGCUCUGGUUCGCCAGAAGCAGCUUAGUCAUGCUGGCCACAUGACCCGGAAGCUGUACGCCGGCUCCCUCGGCCAAUAAAAUGAGAUCAGCGCCGCAACCCCAGAGCCGGUCAUGACUAGACCUAAUGGUCAGGGGCCCCUUUACCUUUAAGACAGAAUAAUUAAUUUCACAUUUCAAUUCCACAAUCUGAGAUGGAAAACUUGGACUCUUGGAAGUAAAAUUGGUGGAUAUUUCAUUAUUACAUACAGAGGCAAAUUUAACACCAGCAACUGACACAUCUAGUAAGGAAGGAAAUACUGGACAUGUAAGAUCAAAAAGUAUAUACCAGCUCCAAUAUGUGUAUUUGCUCACGGUCCUGUGUUAUUCAAUGAGAACAGUCAUCCCAGCUGCAACGGCUUGAGUGUUUUCGGAAUCUUUGUCAUUAUUUUAUUUUUUACCAUAAUUAAUUCUUACAAAUAUGUUGUAAACAGACUGAACGUCUGGAUUCUUUUUGAUUACAACUCAGGAUAACUUCAGAGUGGAAACAAAAACUGGCAUGUACAUAGAAUUUUGUACACUUACAUUUUUCAGAGCAGCCAAUCAGCUUACUGUAUUCUGUACAUUUGACUGCAGUUCUCUGAACAAUCUAGCCAUAAUAUACACAUGAUACAACAUACAGAUAUGAACUUUUCUUUUCUGUAUACUUUAUUUACAGGCAGAGCUGAAUGCCAACAUGACCCAAUCAAUCCCCUGAGGCGCCAGUUAUAAUACAAGCACUUCCAUUGCAGUGGGUUUCCUAAAGAAAGGAAAAUAGCAAAAUAAACUAAAGCUGAUUGAUGGAAUGGAGCCUUUGGGCUUGGUUUUCGUAGGGCAUAAAUUAUCAUAUCCCCUAUUCACUCAGCUCUAAGACCACGUAUUAUGAGCCAAAUUAUAUUUGGAUCCAUUAUUACUUCAAAGCCUAUAUUUUCAGUCUGAUAUCAGAAAAACAGAUUGUGUUUACAUGUGCAGAGCACCAGGCACCGUAUUUCAACGUGUUGAACCGCAAUGUCAGAGGGUUUGUUGUGAAGUUAUCAAAUUGGAUUGAGGACUAGCCUCACCGGAAUGGAAAGGGAUAAUUGGUGAGGGCUAAUUGUCUGAUUCCUAAUGAAAACCCCAACCUCACUUCAUAAUGAAAUACUGCCAAGAGGAAGUACUUUUAGUUAAUUCUAAAAUUCUACCUUCCAGCUUGAAGACAAUGGUACCAAUCUGCAGUUUUCUUACGAUCAUUCACUAGGAAUGGACAUUUACAUCUUAUUCUGGUAAAGUUUAACAGUGAACAUAUUCUAAUCCGCAAACCUUUGUUGCUUAUCACAGGUUGCCUUUAUGAAAACCCUACAAGUAUCUUUCUGGUCUCAAGCUUCUGCUGGGUACGAUCCUGUAUCUUUUCCACACUCUCUCGUGACUCCAAGAGAUCUGGGCAUAUGGACCAGCUGCAGGAUCAAAACCUCCACUGUAGUUUUCUGGAUAUGCAUAGGUGCAUCGCUGCGGGAACCCGUUUAAACUCUAGGUAAGAAUUAAUAUUAUUCACUAAUUGUAUAAAUGGAGAGGGUUUGUCCUGUAAGAGU